rnacentral:rRNA from 1 species
GACAGAGGCCUCAAGCGUUAGGCGGAAUCACUGGGCUUAAAGCGUGUGUAGGCGGACUGGUAAGUACCUUGUGAAAUCCCACGGCUCAACCGUGGAACUGCUUGGUAUACUGCUUGUCUUGUGCAACCUAGGGGCGAGCGGAACAGAUGGUGGAGCGGUGAAAUGCGUAGAUAUCAUCUGGAACGCCAAUGGUGAAAACAGCUCGCUGGGGGUUUGCAGACGCUGAGACACGAAAGCCAGGGGAGCAAACGGG